GCAUGGCGAACGGGUGAGUAAUACAUAAGAAUCUGCUUCAUAGUUUUGGGAUAAUUGUAUUAAGAAAUUAAGAAUGCUUUGCAGCAAAAAUACCAGAUAUAUCGAAAGGCAUAAAGCCGCUAUGAAAUGAGCUUAUGCAGGAUUAGGUAGUUGGUGCAGUAAAGGUGCACCAAGCCGAUGAUCCUUAGCUGUUCUGAGAGGAUGAUCAGCCACACUGGGACUGAGAUAAGGCCCAGGCUUUUUAGCCAGCAGUGAGGAAUCUUGGACAAUGAGCGAAAGCUUGAUCCAGUAAUACUGCGUGAAUGAAGACGGCAAAAAAGACUUUUAAGAUGUUCGCAUUUUUUAGGUCGGUCGUAAAGUUCUUUCACUGAUGAAGAUAAUGACAUUAGUCAGAAAAGAAGCUCCGGCUAACUUCGUGCCAGCAGCCGCGGUAAUACGAAGGGGGCGAGCGUUAUCCGGAAUUAUUGGGCGUAAAGAGUCCGUAGACGGUAUUUGUUGUUGUUUGUUAAAGACUAGGUUUGUUACUUAUUAUAAUGCAUACAAUACACUAAUGCUAGAGUUUGAUUGGGGAUAA
rnacentral:rRNA from 1 species